GUGGUGGCUCAGUGGUAGAGCUCUUGCCUGGCAUGUGGGAGGCACUGGGUCCGACUCUCAGCACCACA
rnacentral:tRNA from 1 species